CUGAGGUACGCUCGGUGUCGCUUCGGCGCGCCGGUUGCCCGCCCUUAUGUCAUACGUGCCGGAGCCGUUCCCCCUCUGCCUUCUGGGCGGUGGUGGGCGGCGACGGGAACAUCACUUCGGUCGAGGUGUUGCGUCCCGGGGGGUCCUCCCUCCGGGCGCGACCGCGGCCGGCCGUAUCUUUACACUCUUUUUUGAGAAACAUGAAGUCUGAAGCAAAAACAAAAUAAAGCAA
rnacentral:misc_RNA from 1 species